rnacentral:rRNA from 1 species
UACGUAGGGGGCAAGCGUUGUCCGGAAUUAUUGGGCGUAAAGAGCGCGUAGGCGGUCCGGUAAGUCGGUUGUGAAAGUCGGGGGCUCAACCCUCGGAUGCCGAUCGAUACUGUCGGGCUAGAGUCCGGAAGAGGCGAGUGGAAUUCCUGGUGUAGCGGUGAAAUGCGCAGAUAUCAGGAGGAACACCAGCGGCGAAGGCGGCGCUCUGGGCCGGUACUGACGCUGAGGAGCGAAAGCGUGGGGAGCAAACAGG